AGACACAGACAGAGGUUUUUUCGGAGGAGAAUGAAACCUGCAAUAAACGGGUUAAACAGAGCAAGAGGGGUUGCCAGGUUGCUCAAGGCCAGCAGGUGGUUGGCAAGGGCAACCGCUCUGAUAAGAGCUGCUCUCGCAGAAGCUCUAGUGUGGGGGAAAGUUGUAUGGAGAGAGGACUGCGUUUGAAACUUAUUAACAGUAAAAGACUUACAAAGAACUUUGCUUGGCCUGGAUUAUUUCUGGUUCUGCACAGCUCCAGAGUCGCUUCUCUGGACUGUACCAACACGCACGCUCCAACAGGCACCCCCAGUUACUUAUUUUUCCUGUAUGUUUUUGUCUGCUAUGAUGUUGCAUAGAUGUCCUUUUCUGUGCCCUGUGCCCAGCAGAAGCUCUAGGCCAGGCAGGACGCAGUGGCAUCUCGUAGAGGACACCCUCCCCUUUCCUGGGGUAUAUGAUUUGUCCUGACCAAAAGCAGAUUUUGGGGUGUGGCCAAUGGAAAUGCUUUGCUGCAGGCUCAGGCAGAGACCCAGUGAUUGGCCCAAAAUGUUGCUGUGGGUGGUCCUGAAAGGUCUGAAGUCAGCAAUAGAGUUGCUCUUCCCUCGCGCUCUGUGGAGGCCACGAGGGAGGAGGUGGAGAGAGAGAAAAAGAAAUUUUUCCAAAAUUGAAGAUGGUGGAGAAGAAAGGAGCGGAGGGAGAAAGCCAGAGGCAAGGAGGAAGGAGGAAGCGGAGGAAUGGAAGUGAAGAGCUAUGGAGCUGAGAUGACAAAAUCCUACUGCCUUGCUGUUAGUCAAAGCUGCUUGGAACAGCAGGGGCAGCCCUGCUGUCUGGCAGCCCUACCUGGAGAUGCUGCCAGGGAUUGAACCUCCUGGGACCUUCUGUAUGCAAAGCAGUUGCUCUACCCCUGAGCUACGGCUCUUCUCCAAGAAGGCAUGUUAAAAUGAACGAAGACAUGCCAUACAUUGAAAAGGCAUGCCAGCUGGGCUUCAAUUCAAACUUAGGGUUUGGAUGAUGGCCGAAGAGUAUCAGAGAAGGGCUGCUGUAUUAUUUCU